rnacentral:lncRNA from 1 species
CAGGGAUGAUUCCAGGUGUUUUCAAAUGGGUCCCUUUAACAUCAAAUUGGGAAUUUUUAUCCCAAUUGGGAAUUUUUUAUGCAUACAACCUAAAAAGAAAUAGUAUCAUUUCCUGACCUGUAAAAACGGAAAAUGUAUAUUAAGUUUCACCUGUACACUGAUUGAAGAAGUUAUUGGAUUCAGACCAGGGAAGUUGUAUUACAUGAAUACCAUUGCACAUGAUGCACUAUCAUCUUAACUUUGGUAAACAAGGCAUAUAUACCAGCUAACAUAAACCUAUGGC